CCUACGGGUGGCAGCAGUAGGGAAUAUUGCUCAAUGGGGGAAACCCUGAAGCAGCAACGCCGCGUGGAUGAUGAAGGUUUUCGGAUUGUAAAGUCCUGUUGUUAGAGAAGAUAAUGACGGUAUCUAACGAAUAAGCACCGGCUAACUCCGUGCCAGCAGCCGCGGUAAUACGGAGGGGGCAAGCGUUACUCGGAAUUAAUGGGCGUAAAGGGCGCGUAGGCGGGAUAGCAAGUCAGAUGUGAAAUCCAAUGGCUUAACCAUAGAACUGCCUUUGAAACUGUUAUUCUAGAGUAUGGGAGGGGUAGGUGGAAUUCUUGGUGUAGGGGUAAAAUCCGUAGAGAUCAAGAGGAACACUCAUUGCGAAGGCGACCUGCUAGAACAUAACUGACGCUGAUGCGCGAAAGCGUGGGGAGCAAACAGGAUUAGAUACCCCAGUAGUC
rnacentral:rRNA from 1 species